AUGCGGCUCCCCGUCCUCGUUCUCAUGCGGCUCCCCGUCCUCGUGCUCUGCUCCGUCUCCAGCCCAGCCGUGCUCUGUUCAGUCUCCAGUCCAGCCGUGCUCUGUUCAGUCUCCAGCCCAGCCGCGUUCUGCUCAGGUCUCAGCCCAGCCGCGUUCUGCUCAGGUCUCAGCCCAGCCACGUUCUGCUCAGGUCUCAGCCCAGCCGCGUUCUGCUCAGGUCUCAGCCCAGCCGCGUUCUGCUCAGGUCUCAGCCCAGCCGUGUCACGCUCAGGUUCCAGCGCAGCCCUGUCACGCUCAGGUUCCAGCGCAGCCCUGUCACGCUCAGGUUCCAGUGCAGCCCUGUCACGCUCAGGUUCCAGCCGCAGCCCUGUCACGCUCAGGUUCCAGCCGCAGCCCUGUCACGCUCAGGUUCCAGCCGCAGCCCUGUCACGCUCAGGUUCCAGCCGCAGCCCUGUCACGCUCAGGUUCCAGCCGCAGUCCUGUCACGCUCAGGUUCCAGCCCCAGUCCAGUCGAGCUCCGUUCAGGCUCUAGCUCCAGCCCAGUCGAGCUCCGUUCGGGCUCUAGCUCCAGCCCAGUCGAGCCCAGCCCAGGUCCCAGUCCAGUCGAGCCCAGCCCAGGUCCCAGUCCAGUCGAGCCCAGCCCAGGUCCCAGUCCAGUCGAGCCCAGCCCAGGUCCCAGUCCAGUCGAGCCCAGCCCAGGUUCCAGCCCAGUCGAGUCUAGUCCAGGUUCCAGUCCAGUCAAGUCACGUUCAGGCCUUGUCCCAGCCAGAGGGCACCAUCCGUCUGACGAGUGUUAGUCACACCCAAUCAGGCCCGACGUCUACUCCGUCGAGUUUGGCAGCUGCAAGCAGUCAUGCCGGCUCCGGAGAGGACGCCGUCCCAGUUCCUGUCGGCCCGUUAGGGGUCGUUCCUGUUCCUGUCGGCCCGUUAGGGGUCGUUCCUGUCCUUGUCGGCUCCAGUAAGGACGCCGUUCUAGUCCCUGUCGGCUCCAGUAAGGUCGCCGUUCUAGUCCCUGUCGGCCAAGUCGAGGCCGUUCCUGUUCCUGUCGGCCAAGUCGAGGCCGUUCCUGUUCCUGACGGCCAAGUCGAGGCCGUUCCUGUCCCUGUCGGCCAUCUCGAGGCCGUUCCAGUUCCCGUUCCUGUCGGCCAUGUUGAGGCCGUUCCAGUUCCCGUUCCUGUCGGCCAUGUAGAGGCCGUUCGAGUUCCCGUUCCUGUCGGCCAUGUAGCGGUCGUUCCAGUUCCCGUUCCUGUCGGCUCCCGCAAGGAUGCCGUUCGUGUCCCUGUCACCCUCGGAGCCGGCUGCAGUUCCUGCCGCAGCUCCCGCCGACCUCCAGGAGGAGGUCGCGUCUGCUUCAUCUCCUGCGGACCCCCAGGAGGAGGUCGCGCCUUCUGCAGCUCCUGCUGA
rnacentral:lncRNA from 1 species